UGGGGAAUAUUGGGCAAUGGAGGGAACUCUGACCCAGCCAUGCCGCGUGCAGGAUGAAGGCGUUAUGCGUUGUAAACUGCUUUUAUAUAGGAGGAAAUAGUCCUUGCGAGGAAAGUUGACGGUACUAUAUGAAUAAGCACCGGCUAACUCCGUGCCAGCAGCCGCGGUAAUACGGAGGGUGCAAGCGUUGUCCGGAUUUAUUGGGUUUAAAGGGUGCGUAGGCGGUUUAUUAAGUCAGUGGUGAAAGACGGUCGCUCAACGAUUGCAGUGCCAUUGAUACUGGUAGACUUGAGUAUGAUUGAGGUAGCUGGAAUGGAUAGUGUAGCGGUGAAAUGCAUAGAUAUUAUCCAGAACACCAAUUGCGUAGGCAAGUUACUAAGUCAUAACUGACGCUGAGGCACGAAAGUGUGGGUAUCAAACAGGAUUAGAUACCCAAGUAGUCCCUGAGCGGGCUGGCAAGGCGCAU
rnacentral:rRNA from 1 species